rnacentral:rRNA from 1 species
UACGAGGGGGGCAAGCGUUGUUCGGAAUUAUUGGGCGUAAAGGGCGCGUAGGCGGUGCGGUAAGUCACCUGUGAAACCUCUAGGCUUAACCUAGAGCCUGCAGGCGAAACUGCCGUGCUGGAGUGUGGGAGAGGUGCGUGGAAUUCCCGGUGUAGCGGUGAAAUGCGUAGAUAUCAGGAGGAAUACCGGCGGCGAAGGCGGCCCUCUGGAUCGUUGCUGACACUGAGACGCGAAAGCGUGGGGAGCAAACAGG